AGAGUUUGAUUAUGGCUCAGGAUGAACGCUAGCUACAGGCUAACACAUGCAAGUCGAGGGGCAGCACGGGGCAUGGCUUGCCAUACCCUGGUGGCGACCGGCGCACGGGUGAGUAACGCGUAUCCAACCUGCCCGCAACCGCGGAAUAGCCCGCCGAAAGGCGGAUUAAUGCCGCAUGAGCUCGCUGGGGGCAUCUGCCCGCGAGCAAAGGUUCACUCCGGUUGCGGAUGGGGAUGCGUCCGAUUAGGCUGCAGGCGGGGCAACGGCCCACCUGGCCUACGAUCGGUAGGGGUUCUGAGAGGAAGGUCCCCCCACAUUGGAACUGAGACACGGUCCAAACUCCUACGGGAGGCAGCAGUGAGGAAUAUUGGUCAAUGGGCGCGAGCCUGAACCAGCCCAAGUAGCGUGGGGGAUGACUGCCCUAUGGGUUGUAAACCCCUUUUGCGCGGGGAUAAACCGGCGGACGUGUCCGUCGCUGCAGGUACCGCGCGAAUAAGGACCGGCUAAUUCCGUGCCAGCCGCCGC
rnacentral:rRNA from 1 species